rnacentral:snoRNA from 1 species
AUGCUCUCUACCACAGGCCAUGUUUUUACACUGACUAUACGUACAGAUAAAGAGAAGGAAAAGUAAACAGACCCCAUAUACACCUCAACUCAGGCCCUGUGCUUGAGGGCUGGCAGAGUGGCUCAAGUGG